rnacentral:rRNA from 1 species
GAUGAACGCUGGCGGCGUGCCUAAUACAUGCAAGUCGAGCGAACAGACGAGGAGCUUGCUCCUUUGACGUUAGCGGCGGACGGGUGAGUAACACGUGGAUAACCUACCUAUAAGACUGGGAUAACUUCGGGAAACCGGAGCUAAUACUGGAUAACAUGUUGAACCGCAUGGUUCAACAGUGAAAGACGGUCUUGCUGUCACUUAUAGAUGGAUCCGCGCCGCAUUAGCUAGUUGGUAAGGUAACGGCUUACCAAGGCAACGAUGCGUAGCCGACCUGAGAGGGUGAUCGGCCACACUGGAACUGAGACACGGUCCAGACUCCUACGGGAGGCAGCAGUAGGGAAUCUUCCGCAAUGGGCGAAAGCCUGACGGAGCAACGCCGCGUGAGUGAAGAAGGUCUUCGGAUCGUAAAACUCUGUUAUUAGGGAAGAACAAAUGUGUAAGUAACUAUGCACGUCUUGACGGUACCUAAUCAGAAAGCCACGGCUAACUACGUG